rnacentral:lncRNA from 1 species
AACUCCGCGGCGGCGGGCGGCCACGUGACUGCAGCUCCGCUCCCACCUCGGCCCGCGCCCCUUCCCCGCCCCAGCUUUCUUCCCGCCAGGCCCCCUCCACCCGAUCGCCGCGCGCUCUCCGAACCAAAAGGCGACCUCACGAAAUGCCCCUUUGAGCUCAAAGGCUAGUUACCCCCAGGGGCCCUUCCACUCUCGGGGACAGGCGAAACCUCUUUGUCUCUGCCUCGGCCUGCGGCCCCCAGCCCAGCCUCCGCGCUUUCCCUCCGCCAGUCCUUGUCAAUCAAACCUGGUGCCAAACGCGGCAGCUGAAGUUUUCAGGGACACAUUUGCUUCUCCCCUUGAAGAACCAGUUACAAAGCGUGAUGUCCUCUCUGGGGUCCCAUCAGAACAAAGAAACAGGCUGUACAAGAAGCAUGAUGCCAGCAUCUGCUUCUGGUGACAACCUCAAGAAGUUUACAAUUGGCCGCGUGCGGUGGCUCAUGCCUGUAAUGCCAGCACUUCGGGAGGCGGAGACAGAUGGAUCAUUUGAGGUCAGGAGUUCGAGACCAGGCUGGCCA